AGCUCCAAUAGCGUAUAUUAAAGUUGUUGCAGUUAAAAAGCUCGUAGUCUGAAUCUUGGUUGGUAUUGAGCGUCCGCGGCCUUCACGGGUUGCGUGCAUGCGACAUUAUACUGGCCAGUGUUUUGUACUUCGGAGGAACAUAUUGGUGCUUUUCACUAAGUGCUUAUGGGAUUCCGAUAGUUUACUUUGAGAAAAAUAGAGUGUUCAAAGCAGGCGUUUUUGCCUUGAAUACAUUAGCAUGGGAUAAUGGAAUAGGACAUUGGUUCUAUUUUGUUGGUUUACGGACCGAUGUAAUGAUUAAUAGGAACAGUUGGGGACAUUUAUAUUCCGCGGCUAGAGGUGAAAUUCUUGGAUUCGUGGAAGAUAAACUACUGCGAAAGCAUUUGUCAAAGAUGUUUUCA
rnacentral:rRNA from 1 species